GACCCCUUAGCUCAGUGGUAGAGCGUGUGAUUCCAGAAUGGUCUGAACCCCAGAUCUGGGCGUCCACAAGGCCGUGCGUUCGAUCCGCCCAGGGGUCA